CCUACGGGUGGCAGCAGUGGGGAAUAUUGCACAAUGGGGGGAACCCUGAUGCAGCGACGCCGCGUGGGUGAAGAAGCGCCUCGGCGCGUAAAGCCCUGUCAGCCGGGAAGAAAAUGACGGUACCUGAAGAAGAAGCCACGGCUAACUACGUGCCAGCAGCCGCGGCAAUACGCAGGGGGCCAGCGUUAUCCGGAGUUACUGGGGGUAAAGGGGGGGCAGACGGCGAAGCAAGCCCGGAGGGAAAGCCCGGGGCCCAACCCCGGGACGGCUCUUGGAACUGCGUGGCUGGAGUGCAGGAGGGGCAGGCGGAAUUCCUGGUGUAGCGGUGAAAUGCGUAGAUAUCAGGAGGAACACCGGUGGCGAAGGCGGCCUGCUGGACUGAAACUGACGUUGAGGCCCGAAAGCGUGGGGAGCAAACAGGAUUAGAUACCCUAGUAGUC
rnacentral:rRNA from 1 species